AGUUAACGUAGCAAAGCCAGGUUUUGCCAAAGAUCUAAGCCCUUUUUACAGAGGUUCAAAUCCUCUCGCUAACU
rnacentral:tRNA from 2 species